CCGGGGAUUGAACUCAGGUCCUUGCACUUGCCAGGAAGCGCUUAUUCUACAGAGCCAUCUCCCCGGCCUUGCCUCAGGUUCUUGAUCGUGAUGGGGACAAAGGUGAAAACUGGGAGAAAACUGUUAUUUUAUUUACAUCGACGAACCUGUGAGUCUCCAGCUCCUCUGAAUCUCUGGCAAAGUGUCCUGGUGCGGAGCCCGAACAGGAAUGAAAUUGAAAGCUGAAAUUUCCUAGGCCUCCGCAUUCAAAAUUCCUUGUACUAUACCUACGGAGGAGUCCUUACUAAAUGUUGAUUGAGUGACUCUUCCCAAGGUGAGA